rnacentral:lncRNA from 1 species
GGAAACGCUACCUGAUAAAGCCCUGGAACCAAAGACCACCAGGAAUACGUCUGUAAUUAAACAAAUUUGAUUCAUUACCUCACUGCGGCAAAGAAGGACGUACCAGAGGAAACGUGAAGCAUCUUGUUGCAUUUGUAAUCAAGGAUGGAGUCAACCAAUGCCGCUUGAGCAGACAUACCAGCAUAACCUCAAAAAUAGUAAGAAACACUAACCAAAUGAGAGUUUUGUUUAAAUUAAAAAUUAAGGACGUUGACUCUAAUAGAGGCUACAACUACAAGAUGAAAAACCUGACGCUCAGAAUGAUGGAUUAUUACCAAAAGGUGGAGACAGAAAAUAUAUAAAUAUUGAAGAUGAUUUCAGAUGGCAAAAAGCACAGUAAAGAACGUUAGAGAUUGGAUAGGCUGGAGGACUCCUCGUGAAGAUGACAUACGAGGUUUCUCCAUAGGAAGACAAGGAAGAGAUAUUAGUCACAACAAAUGUUUUCCUGUAUGUUUUCUGUGAAUAAUAUAGAAUUGCUAUCCAGCAAACGUGACUACCUACAACUUACCAGGUUAACCUCCUUACACUCUGGACCACCAAGGAAGUCUGUCUCCUGAAAACACCUCUGCAUGUCUUGGAAGCACAAAUAAGGAAGGUGACAUGGAGAAAAAAUUUCUUGAUGACAAUAGAGCAAGAUGUGGGGACUGCUAUUUUCCAUAUCAUUCAGUAGAGUCGUUCAGUAGAUUUCUUUCUUUCUCCAAACUUUGCAAAAAUACUGAUUAAUUUACCAAUUAAAUCACUUUCCCCCCUAACUUUAUGCAAGUUUGCAAUGAAUUUCUGUAAUUAAAGUGUUUUAUAUCUAAAAGUUAUUUCACUGCAUGUUCUUAGAGGUAAUAUGUGCAGGAAAGUGGCCAUUUAAAGUAAGGCAGUUCCAAUUAUAAUGAUCCACUAAUGUUUAAUGAUAAAAACACAAAAUAGUCUAACAACAUUUUAGCACUAUUGGUACCAUGCCAACCAAAUACAUGAUAUUUUGAAAAGCCCAUUUAAUCAACUGCUCUAAGCAUUGAAUUCAUACCAUACACCAGUGGAUCUCAAUCUGUCUUGGGCUAAAGAUUCACUUGGGUUGCUGGCUUAAAAUGAAGAUUCCUGAUUGUCCCAUGAUUCCUUUCUUAGUAUGUAUGAGGUGACUUCAAUAAACCUGUAUUUUUAACAAGGCUUCCCUGGAGAUUAUGGUGCAGGAAAUUAUAUGCCCACUCACACUUUGGAAACCACUGCCAUUCUCCAACUUGUCAUGUAGCAGGAUAAAGAUGACUGUUAUGAACGAGUAGCCAGGUUGCAUUAAGGGAAAUUUCCUCAGAGAUUUUGUGUUUGUAUCGGUGCAAAGACCAUUGCAUAUGCCACUACAGAGAGAAAGAAGUUAAGAAUAAUAUGUGAAAUCUCAGUGUAAAUGAACAUAAAGGCUUAGGAAUUUGUUUUAAUACAUACAAAUUAGCAUCUAUGAGUGAUUUAAAAGAUGCCCAAUUCAUCCACAUACUGCAGAGCUGAAAAGAGAAGCCUAUAACUUUAAU